ensembl:lncRNA
CAACAACAACAACAACAACAAAACCCUGAACAAUUUUGACAAAUCUGCAUAAUAACUGUUUAUACUGGAGAUUUAUUUUGAUGGCUAAUUGCUGUAUUUGAAAUAUCUGUAAUUGUUAUGAGGUUUCCAAAUACGUGAUGAACAACAUGCAAAUGGCUGCAGUUUCCAACUACAGAAAUUUAUGUAGGAGUGAAGUAUUUCUUACAAGAGUCAGUCAGCUGUAGAGAUUGAUGAGCUAAACUACUAUGGUAAAAAUAAAUACAGCUAGGUAGGAAUUACAGCUGGUAUUGUUCUGUAAUGUGGAGUUAACAAAUCGGCAGUUGAAUGAAAGGAAUCUAAAUGCUAGAUAGUCUUUUUGUUACCUUCUUACUUUGGCUGCAUGUAUUUGCAGAGAGUUUUUGUAGCUUUAUUUAACACCCACAGAAGACAAUGUCAGACUUUCCAUUCUCUUUAAAGGCUUCAGUUCCCCGGCACAGGGCUCGCUGCUCAUUACAACAGCCCUGACUAGAAGCUCACGGGGUGAGGAGGACGACGAUGCCUCAUUCCCAGUGAAGGGGAAGGGGUGCAGAGCUGGUGCUGCCUCUGGAGUAUUUGAAGACCCUCAGUAGGGAUUAGAGCUCCACCGUACAACAGAACAUCAACAUCUGGAAAAUCACAGUAAAGCAGUUAAGUAGAAAGUAAUAGAUCCAGAGUACUGAAUAUCAACUUUUCACCCAGUGGUGAGCUGAUGCUAGGGGAAGAAGGAAUACUAGACUCUGAUCUUAGCUCUUGUUUGGCUAUACUUCCUCUGUCCUGUCUUCCUUCUCUCUACACUCUCAAGUGCAUAUGUCAGCACUUUUCAACCAGGAAAAACAAAACAAAACAGCAACAAAAGGAGGAGAGAAAUAAAAGGAAAUGAUACAGGAAUUUCUCCAAAGUCUACAUGAUGCAGACACUGAGAACAAAAAUCUUUUUAUAUGUCUUCUCAGAGGCCAAGAAGUGUGAACAAUUGGUUCAUGGACAAUUAAUUUGUUGUAGCCUUCAACAUUUAGAUAUGUCUGGCUGAGGAAUGUAUCCUUUACUUCAGGAACAAAAUGAUUAUUUAGCUAACCCAGUCUAUCGUAGCACUGUGAACAAAUGCUUCUCCAAUCUGGUAUUUGAAAAAUCCAUAAGGAUAAAUUAAAUUAACAUGACUUUCUCCUGGAAGAAAAUAGGCUGAAGAAAAGACUAAUUUCUAAUUUUCAUGCAGUUGAUGUUACAAAAAACCAUCAAAUAUUAUCUUACUUCUUAUAUUUAUCUUGCCUAUUUUAUUUUAUUCUAUUUUAUUUCUUGUCCUUUGGAAAAGCAUGUUCUUCACCAUGAAUUAUUAAUGUAAUUAUAAUUUUUAGUUAUAUAUAAAAACAUUCUUAAAAACCAUAAAAAAAAAAAAAGCCUGCACCCUCUCUAGUUCUUUCCAUUUCUCCCAUUGCUACUUCUACCACAAAUCUGACAAGUUCCUGAAUGUGCAACUGAGUCGUGAAUCAAGUGCUUGAAGCUGUACACAGACAACAGAAAUAGGUCACUGCUUCUUCAAGAAUCUGUGCUUCAGUCAUAUUCACUUCUAUUUUUAUUCAAGAUUCAAGAAUUAAAAAAAAAAUAAAAAGUAGCAACACUGGCUUAGCUUAUGAAAACAAUUUCAAACUAGCAAUGCAAACUUGCACUCCAUGAGUUGUCUGCCUUUGUCUACUCAGACCCUGGAAAACAUAUGUGUAUUUAAUUGAGGAUUUACUUUAUGCUGUUAUAAACUAUAAUGGUAAUAUAGUGCCUUUUGUAAGAAGCUUAAACAAACUUGCUUGUCAGGAUUGCAAUCUCCCUGUCUAGCUCAAGGACUGAUUACUUGGGCCCCAGAAAUUUCUAGCAGUGGUGAUAACACAACAGAAGGGAAGGCGAUGGAUUGGUUUCACUUAGUUCCCCUUGCUGCGAGAUGUUCCAUUGCUGUUGUUACACCCAGCAUCUGUAUGAGAAUUAUUCAGUGAGACAAUGGUUUGCUCCUCUGAUAAGGGUUAUUGACCAAAGAAAGAUCUAAUGACAGAGCAAAGAGUCCUCUUGUGUCUAUCAGCUCAGUAGUGGGAACAGUCUUUAUUACUGUCUGGUUACAUGAAGAGUUUCAAUGGACAGUAGAGCAGUACUGAAAUUUGUAAGUGAGAGACUAAAUUGUAAGGCAAAAGUAUUAUUCCUUCUUUUUCUUUUUUUCUUAUUUUUUCUUUUUUUCUUUUUUUCUUUUUUUGCCUGCAAAUGUUAUCAUUUAGCUGAACUAAUAUCGAGCUACACUUUUUGAGAAAUGCAGAAUAUUCUGUUCUCUAUCCAUAAGAGACAAAGAGAAAGUGAAUGCAAUUGCAUUACAAUACAAGAGUGGCAGAAAAAAAUUGUGCAUUAUUUAUUAUUUCUGUUCAUCAAAGCUUAUCCACAUUGUAAAUCUCACAUAGUAAACAGUGUCCAUCUAAAUACUUCUUUAAGUAGUAAGAGAAUAACCAUACAAUUAUUAUAUACAUAAUAGAAUAUAGAAAUGUGAUGUAAACUUACCGAGUCAAAAAUUGUUAAAGUCUGAUAAUUUAAAAUACUUUUUACUGACUCAAAAUGAAUAUUGCCAAUAAAAGAAUGUAUGGAACCUUAGAAACUAUUCUUCCACUUGAUUUUUUUCUGGACCACCUUGAGAAAAUAGAGGUCUUUGAGUUAAACCCUUUUUCUCUACCCCCGCCCCCAAUAAAUCUAAGAUGUACUGAUGAAUGUUUCUACCAUCCUCAGCUCUCACAGUGUAUACAUGUCCUUGAUUCUCAACUUGACCUCUUUUGAUGACCUCGUGAAGGACUUUUGAAAUAACACUAUCAAAAAGUUAUGUACUCUUCAUUAAGGCUAUACUAAAUGAACAAACAUCAUCCCUUGAAUGUAAAUGAGGAAAAUACUAGAAAAAAAAACAACAUUUUUUCUCAACUACUACUGAAGUAGUGAGAUACUUGUGAAAACAGAAGAAGCUGCCAAGGUUAUUCAGGGGAAGGGGGAAAGUGUGUCUAUUUUGCCCUUUUGAAUUUUUCUACUAUACAAAAUCCACUUAAUAACUCAGAAUGUUAUGAUAUUCUUUAAGAAUAAAAUCAUGUCUACAUUGAUGUUAUAAUGUGGGAGCUGGCACAAAUAACAUGUUUUUAAAAAUAGAUGAUCAAAGAAGUACAUUAAGGUUGGAUGAUUGGAAGUUGGACUAGACAACCUUUAAUGAUCCCUUCCAACUCUAAGGAUUCUACGAUUCUAUGAAAUUAAGUGAAAAAAUGCCUUUCACUAUUCUGCUAGGAAGUAAUUAGGACAUUAAGUCCAGCAAACCUUAAAAUUACAUUGUUCAGUCAAUUUAUUUCUGUUUCCAAAAUACAUAGUUCAAUAAACAACAGAAAACAAACAAAGAACAACAACAAAACCCCAAUCCUAAACUGAUCCUUAAAUCUAUGAUUUCACAAUUCUUCAUUCCAAAAGCUCUUAUUUUUGUCCUGAAACCUGCUCAUGUCAGGCUUUGCAUUUGGAAUUGACAGUUGUUCAGAUGGCUCUUUAACAGUGUUGUGGAAAGAAGUGUCAUAACGAAUCAUGGCCUGGAGCAAUUACAUGGAGGUUAUUUGCAGAGAGGAAGCAGAUGAUAACAGACAAAGUGUUGUCAGAAGUGCUGGUUAUUUGCAUCUUUGUUUGUUGUUUGAAUGGCAGACAGAAAUGGAGCAACUGAACAAUGCUCAUUCUAUUUCUUUGUAUGUAAGAAAGCUCCAUAUUCUUCCAUACCCAGCAGCCUUGGGGUAUCUCAGCAGUAAAGAGGCAGAGAGAUGAGAAGACCCCAAGCUUCCAGACUGGAAGUCUUUCAAAGGAUAAGAGCUAAAGCCAUCUUUGAAAGCAUUGGACAGCUGGUGGAAGAGGGAAUUUAUGAUCUGCGUUUUUUGGAAUGUACAUCCCUGAAUAUGCUUAAAAACUAUUUUAGCAACCAAAGUAAAAUUUCUGAGUCUUGCCCAUAAUUAGCUAGCUCCUGUGCUACUCCGAUAAUGUUAGUUUUGAAAGAGUGUAGGAAUUCCCUCUGUAUUCUGCUAUGUUCUUUCUGCUGCACAAUCAGUUUAGUCCAUUCUGGAGGACUAUGCUUAUUCAGGUGCUCAUUUUUUUCUCUUCUGCAGUCUACUUUCUAAUUUCACACAAUUUGAAAGCUUUUAUUCAUAUAUGACGCACAAUAUAUAAAUAUCACAGAACCAGAAAAGUCAAAAUGAAAAGUUCUUUCAUCUGAAGUGUAUCAAAUCUUACAUUCCAAAAUGUUCUACCCAGCUACUACAUUUUGCUAAGGCAAGCAAUACUGGAUCUGUUCAGAAAAUAUCCACCAAUGACAUUUUAGUGUUCAGAGAUGUUUCUACUUUAUGUCUUGUCUCUGAAUCAUGGUGAAUAUAAGACAUCUGGAUGACUCUUGUGGAAACAUACCAUCAAGGCUGAGAAUUGGUACUUUCCGGAGUAAUUGCACCAUUUCAGUAACAAUGAUAGCUGACACUGUAAUGUUAAGUGAAAGUUUACUGAGGCAGUCUUACCACUUUACUGCAUUUCUGUAGAAUAAGUCCAUGAGCUCCUGUUCUUUCAGCGGUAUCUCUACAGUACACAUUUGCAAGAUAGAUGCUCUUAAUUUGACAGGAAAAUCUUUUCUGGUUGCAAACUACAGAAAAUUGUUUGAAAUCAAUGACUGUGUAUCCUUUUUGACCAGAUGGGAGGCAAUGUUAUUACCUGAAGUUGAAUCCUUUGAGGCAUAUAACAGAACUUUUGUAAUUCUGUAGAUGAACUAUAACUGAGAGUAUAUUUUUUUCCAAACAAUUCCUACUUUUGUUUAUCGCAUUUAAUG